rnacentral:rRNA from 1 species
UACGAAGGGGGCUAGCGUUGCUCGGAAUUACUGGGCGUAAAGGGAGCGUAGGCGGAUAGUUAAGUCAGAGGUGAAAGCCCAGGGCUCAACCUUGGAAUUGCCUUUGAUACUGGCUAUCUUGAGUAUGGGAGAGGUAAGCGGAACUCCGAGCGUAGAGGUGAGAUUCGUAGAUAUUCGGAAGAACACCAGUGGCGAAGGCGGCUUACUGGCCCAUUACUGACGCUGAGGCUCGAAAGCGUGGGGAGCAAACAGG